rnacentral:rRNA from 1 species
UACCAGCUCUCCGAGUGGUAGGGAUGAUUAUUGGGCUUAAAGCGUCCGUAGCCGGCUUAGCAAGUCUCCUGUUAAAUUCAGCGACCUAAUCGUUGAGCCGCGGGAGAUACUACUAGGCUAGGAGGCGGGAGAGGUCGACGGUACUUCCGGGGUAGGGGUGAAAUCCUAUAAUCCCGGGAGGACCACCAGUGGCGAAGGCUGUUGACUAGAACGCGCUCGACGGUGAGGGACGAAAGCUGGGGGAGCGAACCGGAUUAGAUACCCGGGUAGUCCCAGCUGUAAACGAUGCGAGCUAGGUGUUGGGGUGGCUACGUGCCACUUCAGUGCCGCAGGGAAGCCAUUAAGCUCGCCGCCUGGGGAGUACGGCCGCAAGGCUGAAACUUAAAGGAAUUGGCGGGGGAGCGACCACAAGGCGUGAAGCUUGCGGUUC